GUCUCAGUUCGGAUUGAAGGCUGAAAUUCGCCUUCAUGAAGCCGGAAUUGCUAGUAAUGGCAGGUCAGCAUACUGUCGUGAAUACGUUCCCGGGCCUUGUACACACCGCCCGUCACACCAUGAGAGUUGGGAAUACCCGAAGCCUGUGAGCUAACUUUUAGAGGCAGCAGUCGAAGGUAGAAUCAAUGAUUGGGGUGAAGUCGUAACAAGGUAAC
rnacentral:rRNA from 1 species